GAUGAACGCUGGCGGCGUGCCUAAUACAUGCAAGUCGAGCGAACGGACGAGAAGCUUGCUUCUCUGAUGUUAGCGGCGGCCGGGUGAGUAACACGUGGAUAACCUACCUCUAAGCCUGGGAUAACUUCGGGAAACCGGAGCUAAUACCGGAUAAUAUUUUGAACCGCAUGGUUCAAAAGUGAAAGACGGUCUUGCUGUCACUUAUAGAUGGAUCCGCGCUGCAUUAGCUAGUUGGUAAGGUAACGGCUUACCAAGGCAACGAUGCAUAGCCGACCUGGGAGGGUGAUCGGCCACACUGGAGCUGGGACGCGCUCCAGACUCCUACGGGAGGCAGCAGUAGGGAAUCUUCCGCAAUGGGCGAAGGCCUGACGGUGCAACGCCGCGUGAGUGAUGAAGGUCUUCGGAUCGUAAGACGCUGUUAUUAGGGAAGAACAUAUGUGUAAGUAACUGUGCACAUCGUGACGGUACCUAAUCAGAAAGCGACGGCUAACUACGUG
rnacentral:rRNA from 1 species